GAUGAACGCUAGCGGCAGGCCUAACACAUGCAAGUCGAGCGAGGAGCUUUCGGGCUUCGACCGGCGUACGGGGGCGUAACGCGGAUACAAACUGCCUUUCACAUAGGGAUAGCCCGAAGUAAUUUGGAGUAAUACCGGAUGGUAUAUAGUAGUAGCUUCUCCUUUAUAUUAAAGCUUAGACGGUGAAAGAUGUGUAUGCGUUCGUUUAGCUAGUUGGAGAGGUAACGGCUCUCCAAGGCGACGAUGGAUAGGGGUUCUGAGGGGGGUAUCCCCCAGACGGGUACCGAGAUACGGACGACACUCCUACGGGACGCAGCAGUGAGGGAGACUGGAGAAUGGUCGGAAGACUGAUCCAGCCAUGCCGGGUGCAGGAAGACGGCGUUAGGGGUGGUAAACUGCUUUUGCAGGGGAAGAAUAAGGACUACGCGUAGUUUGAUGACGGUACUCUGCGAAUAAGCAUCGGCUAACUACGUG
rnacentral:rRNA from 1 species